rnacentral:lncRNA from 1 species
ACGUACUAAAACGAAUAGGAAACACUAAAAACCAAAUCACCAAGUCUUAAAGUAAAACAACUUAAAGAAAACCAAACACCUGAAAACCAGCACCACACUGAGACGAUCACUCCUGCACUUCCUUGAACUCACCUGAAAAAGAAAGGAGGGCUGAGUAUUUCGACAAAUACUCAGUGAGGAAAGCUCUAGGAGCCCCGAAAUCAAUCACCAACAAUCAUCACACAACAUAGCAUAAGCAUCUAACUUUAAUAUUCAGUAAAUUGAAAGCAAUCAACAAGAAACGAGGAUAAACCCCGGCGGUGCCAACAAUGAGACCAGGCCACCUAAAUCUAUGCCCGUGUUCCUCAUGUUGUCGCGCGAGAACUUUCAUUUUGUGUUGUCUCCAUGACAUCACGCUGUCUCACGCCUUCACGCAAUCAAGUUACCGACACCGGUUCUCGCUUGAUCCGCCACCAUGUUCAUACGUUCCACGUUGUCUCCACGACAUCACGCUUCUACGUUACUUCAUUUACAGGCACCGCAUGCCCGCUCCGGCGCUGAAUCAUGCCAACUCAACGAUUGCCACAUGACCCAACAAGAAACGAUGUAACGCCCGAGACAUGCAUAUAUGUCAUUCCACCACGCUACACCGGCACACAUAGGCCUUAAAGCCUUUCUCCAACUCAUUUACAUUUCCCAAUUAUAUAGAUAUCAUCCUCUUAUACAAUAAACCCAAUCAAUACAAUCAUCACAUUCAAUCCUCAAAUCUCAUUCAACCAUAUUUUAACAACCUUAGAAUAGAUCUAUGUUUUUCACACAUCAAGCAUCAAGAUAUUUAUAUAUAUCAUAUGUAUAAUUAUUUAUAUUAGUAGAUCUAUAGAAAGUAACAAGUAAGGAUGAAUGAUCAAUCUAGACACUUCUACCAUGAUGAGAUAAUGAUAGAAGGAGAUAGAGAUUGCAACAAGCCUUCACCUGAGCCUAGAUCUGUGAGAUGAGAUGAGAGUUGAUGUAGAUCUGAGUUCUACGGGUCCUUACUAACCAGAUCUACAAGAACAAGGGUUGGUUUCCACCCAAACCCUAGAUCAGAGAUCAAGAAGAAGAAAGAGAUAGGAGAGAUCAAAAACAAAGUGUUUAGGGUUUCCUUACCCUCACUAGUUGCUGGAUCUAGAAGAAAAAGAGUAGAAGACUCAAGGAAACGGCGAGAAGAAAUAGAAACACGGCGAGAUCUCCUCUCCGGUGAGAUUACACGGUCGCCGGCAGUUCUCCGGUGACUCGCGGUGGCUGCGGUAGUGGUGUGGUGGCCG